UUCCCUGUGGCUCAGUUGAUAGAGUAUGCUAACAACUCAAAGGUUGUGGGUUCAAAUCCCAUAGAAGCAA